rnacentral:rRNA from 1 species
ACGAUGUCGACAGCCGUUGGGUGCCUAGCGCACUUUGUGGCGAAGUUAACGCGAUAAGUCGACCGCCUGGGGAGUACGGCCGCAAGGUUAAAACUCAAAUGAAUUGACGGGGGCCCGCACAAGCGGUGGAGCAUGUGGUUUAAUUCGAUGCAACGCGAAGAACCUUACCUACUCUUGACAUCCUGCGAAUUCGGUAGAGAUACCUUAGUGCCUUCGGGAACGCAGAGACAGGUGCUGCAUGGCUGUCGUCAGCUCGUGUUGUGAAAUGUUGGGUUAAGUCCCGUAACGAGCGCAACCCUUGUCCUUAUUUGCCAGCGCGUAAUGGCGGGAACUCUAAGGAGACUGCCGGUGACAAACCGGAGGAAGGUGGGGACGACGUCAAGUCAUCAUGGCCCUUACGAGUAGGGCUACACACGUGCUACAAUGGUCGGUACAAAGGGUUGCGAGCUCGCGAGAGUCAGCCAAUCCCGAAAAGCCGAUCUCAGUCCGGAUCGGAGUCUGCAACUCGACUCCGUGAAGUCGGAAUCGCUAGUAAUCGUAGAUCAGAAUGCUACGGUGAAUACGUUCCCGGGCCUUGUACACACCGCCCGUCACACCAUGGGAGUGGACUGCACCAGAAGUGGUUAGCCUAACGCAAGAGGGCGAUCACCACGGUGUGGUUCA